UUCUUAUCUCCUCCUCUAACACCAUUGACAGAUGAAUUUAACAAGAGGGGCACUAUCUGCCUCGCCGAGAAUAGAAGGGCUAAACUAUCUGCGUCCCUGCUUGCAUGGUUUCAGCAGUAUUGAUGAAUAUAUCACAGUGUGUUCAGUCACAAGGAACCAAUCCUCCUCCUGUUCUUUUUCCUUUUUUUUAAUCACUGAUUCAGUUAGAGCUCUUCCCAUGGAGCUGGGUGCGAUGACCCAAGUAGAUAGAUAGCGGUAACUGGAAGGAUUCCUGCUUGAUCAGAGGAGCUUUCCUGAUCAGUGACCAUGUCUACAGUUCAGAUAGGACUGUUCAAAGGAAGAAAUACCUCCAUGGCCGAUGGCAAUGAAGUCUCCCACAAAACCUGGAGUAACACAGCUUCAAGUUACAACAUGGUGGGCAAACUUUCUGCCUCUCUUUCAAGGUGAAACAGCUAUAAAUCAAUUAUCAAACACACAAAAACAACCAAUAUUGAUCCAAUGGUUCUAGUGCCUUGCUAUAUUACAUUUUAUAUUGUUGAUUUAAUGUGCAAUGUGCCUGUUGUACCCAAGUUUAACAAAAUUCAAGG